UGUUCCUGGGAGCUGCUCUUCGUGCUGUUGGCUCUUUCCCACCUGGAGUGGAACAACGAUACAAGUCCUUGCUCUGGUUCCGGGUCAGGAUCAGGCUCUGGUUCAGCAGUGGGUUCCUCUAAAUGUUCUUCCAAGUCAUUGCUGACAGUUUGAUCACAGAAAGUUCCAGAAUCAUCAGGGGUGGGGGGUGGUUACUGCUGAUGCCCACGUGGCUCACCUCCUCCGUGCUGGGAGCUGUGGCACACUGACCUGAACCCUUCUCUGGGCUGGAGACCAUGGCACGCUGACCCAGAAGCCUCCUCUGUGCUGGGACCUGCGACAUGCCUACCCAGAAGCCUUCUCUGGGCUGGAGGCCAUGGCAUGCUGUCCUGGAAUCCUCCUCUGGGCUUGAAGCCAUGGCAUGCUGACUGGGAAGCCUGCUCUGUGCUGACAACUGUGGCACACCUACCUGGAAGCCUCUUCCACACUGGGAGCUGCAGCACACCUACCCAGAAGAAGAUUCUCAUGGUCACUUCUAUCCUCAAUUCUUGGCAGACUGACACCUUGUGGGAGCAAAAGAGCGACAGAAACGGAAAGAGCAACUGUUACUCUUUGGAAAUACCCAGGAGCCGGCAGAGGAUGGACAGCCUGAAUCAAACAACUGAGACCUUGCUGUAUCUGUCGCCUGUUGAAGUUGCCAAUCUCAAAGAAGGAAUCAAUUUUUUUCGAAAUAAGAGCACUGGCAAAGACUAUAUCUUGUACAAGAAUAAGGGUGACCUGAAGGCAUGCAAGAAUUUGUGCAAACACCAAGGAGGCCUGUUCAUAAAAGACAUUGAGGAUUUAGAUGGAAGGUCUGUUAAAUGUACAAAACACAACUGGAAGUUAGAUGUGAGCACCAUGAAGUACAUCAAUCCUCCAGGAAGCUUCUGUCAAGACGAGCUGGUUGUUGAAAUGGAUGAAAACAAUGGGCUUUUACUUCUAGAAUUGAAUCCUCCAAACCCUUGGGAUUCAGAUCCCAGGUCUCCUGAAGAUUUGGCUUUUGGGGAAGUACAGGUAACAUAUCUCACUCAUGCCUGCAUGGACCUCAAAUUGGGAGACAAGAGAAUGGUGUUUGAUCCUUGGUUAAUUGGUCCUGCGUUUGCCAGAGGAUGGUGGUUACUCCAUGAGCCUCCAUCUGACUGGCUAGAGAGGCUGUGCAAAGCAGACCUAAUUUACAUUAGCCACAUGCAUUCGGACCACCUAAGUUACCCAACACUAAAGAAGCUUUCAGAGAGAAGACAAGAUAUUCCAGUUUAUGUUGGGGACACAGAAAGACCUGUGUUUUGGAAUCUGAAUCAGAGUGGUGUCCAGUUAACUAAUAUAAAUGUAGUUCCAUUUGGAAUAUGGCAGCAGGUAGACAAAAAUCUUCGAUUCAUGAUCUUGAUGGAUGGUGUUCAUCCCGAGAUGGACACAUGCAUUAUUGUGGAGUACAAAGGUCACAAAAUACUCAAUACAGUGGACUGCACCAGGCCCAAUGGGGGCAGGCUGCCUGCAAAGGUUGCUUUUAUGAUGAGUGAUUUUGCUGGGGGAGCAUCCGGCUUUCCAAUGACUUUCAGCGGUGGAAAAUUCACUGAGGAAUGGAAAGCUCAGUUCAUUAAAACAGAAAGGAAGAAGCUCCUGAAUUAUAAGGCUCAGCUGGUGAAGGACCUGCAACCCCGAAUUUAUUGUCCCUUUGCUGGGUAUUUUGUGGAGUCCCACCCAUCAGACAAGUACAUUAAGGAAACAAACAUCAAAAAUGACCCAAAUCAGCUCAACAAUCUUAUUAAGAAAAAUUCAGAUGUAGUCACAUGGACCCCUCGACCUGGAGCCACCCUUGACCUGGGCAGGAUGCUGAAGGACCCAACAGACAGCAAGGGCAUCUUAGAGCCUCCUGAAGGAACUAAGAUUUACAAGGAUUCCUGGGACUUCGGACUAUAUCUGAACACCUUGAAUGCUGCUGUAGGAGAUGAAAUCUUCCUUCACUCAUCGUGGAUAAAAGAAUAUUUCACUUGGGCUGGAUUUAAGAAUUAUAACCUAGUGGUCAGGAUGAUUGAGACAGAUGAGGACUUCAACCCUUUUCCAGGAGGCUAUGAGUACUUGGUUGACUUUCUAGAUUUAUCCUUUCCAAAAGAAAGACCCAGCCGGGAGCAUCCAUAUGAGGAGCUCCGUGUCUGCAGAGGGGAUUCCGUACGAUGCAGCCUAGACCACCUGACUUCUGGUGCUGCUGCUGCUACAGGCUGGACACGCCCAGGUUGCCAUGAGAUCGCAGGCCCUGCUCUGCCUCCACUCCUGGCAGCAGCCAUUUAUUGAAUCCUCACUGGGUGCCACGCCUUUUUAAAAGUAUUUCAUACACAUUCACUCACUUAACCCUCACAAUAAUCCAGUGAGGACUGUUUUCCUAUUAUCUUCAUUUUAUAUGGGAAGAAACGGAGGCACAGCACGGUUACCAAGAUUGCCCAGAGAAAACCUGGGUCUGAAACUUCAACGUGACCCGGAGUUUGCGUUCAGCCGCUGUGUCUCGGAACUCCGGUCCACCUCAUUUUCCUUCCCUUGAUUUCUGCUGAGCUUGAGGUCCCGCCUUCUCCCUCAGCCUGCGCUGUCUGCUUCCCCUCACUCCUCAGGCCGCAGCGGCACGGAACCGGAGGGCUCAACCCUGCAAGUUGUUCCUAUCUGUUUCAGAUUCGCAGCCGGGUUGAUGUCAUCAGGUACGUGGUGAAGAACGGUCUGCUCUGGGACGACUUGUAUAUAGGAUUCCAGACGAGGCUCCAGCGGGAUCCUGACAUAUUUCAUCACCUGUUUUGGAAUCAUUUUCAAAUAAAACUCCCCCUAACUCCCCCCAACUGGAGCUUGUUCCUGGUGCACUGUGGAUAGAGUGGCC